GAGCGAAUCCCCUCUUGGAUAUUUUGUUUUCUCAUGCCCUCCUUCCUUCCCAACCAGCUGCACAGGCAGAGCCGAGGCUGCUUGGCCCUAACUAUCUUGGCAUCGAGUCAAAAGCUGAUAAGCAUUUGGGCGAGACAGCUCAACUGCUGUGCUGGAAGAAAAACAGCUGCCAUGAUCGCGGCUUGAUUGAGAGCGCAGCUUCUGCACACACACACACACACACAUUGCUAAGACGGGAGACAGCAAAAUGCCCGAGGAUCCAGCUCUUGCAGAAGCAAUGAGCAGCUCGCUUUCUCUUCUAUAGGAUCUGCAGCACAUGCUCCUUUGUGCCUCCCCCCCCCCGUGUGUGUGGGAGAGAGAGAGACGGGGGGGCGGGCGCCUCUCCUCUUCUACCCCACCCUGCCCCCAUCCAUCACUCCAGCAAACCCGGGGAAUCAUGCCAAAAGCCCCUCGCUAGUCACACCAAGUAUAUUUCUGUCUAUAAAAAGAUCCCUUUGAUACUCUUUCUUCCGCUCUUGUAGACUACGCAAAGCAAUGAAGAUUCGUCUAUUCCUUCCAAGAAACAAAAUCCCUCACAGCACCAGCUAUAUUGUAUUAUCUUCCCCACCCGGCAUCGGCAAAAAGGGAGAAGCGGCUGCUCACAUGCAAACACAUAUGCGCAGGCAUACUUGUUCUUUCUCUUUCCCAAGUUUUGGCUUUUUCCAUUUGUGGCCGAUCACUGUAACGCUGUUGUAAAACAACUUCCUGCCCCCCUUGGCUCAAGUUCCUGGAGCUAUGUUCUCAGCAAAACUUUUUUCUUCUUUGCUGGAGAAGCAUUGCAUCCUCCCCAAGCAAACUUCUACCCGGCCUGCCAACAAGUUUGGGAAGGGGAGGGAGAGGNAUGCUGCAGUCUCCUAAUACGAACUUGCCGAUCAUCGAUGCUUAAGAAUAUUGAGCAAGCGACGUCUGUAUUACAACUGGAUGAAGAAAACUGUGAACUUUUUNUUAAAGUCAAAUUUUUAGAAGAAAAACUCAUUUUAGAUUCAUGAAUGCCAUUGUUUCAGCUUUCAAGCAGGUCAGUGCAAAAGGCAGCACUUGGAAGCAUUCUGGUGCACAGUGGAUCACCGCACAGCUUGGAAGGAUGAAAGGAAGGCUUCAGAUGGCUUGAGCUCUGCUCCUACUCACCCUCCAUGAAAGAGUAUUCCUAUAAAGUAGCAAACAAAUGUAAUCCCUGUCACUGUUGUGGAAAAUCCCGAAGUACAGAAUGUAGAUGUUUUAAGUCCUGAAAUACCAAACUAGUGGUUUGAUCAAACCUAGCAGCUUGAUCUGACAGUGGUCAACAGGAUGCCUCUGGAAAGCCAGGAUGUAACAGGACUGCCUUUACUUUCAUUCCCUAGUUUAAAUCAUUUACAGAGGCAGUGGGAAAACUAUGGUCUUGUGUGAAUGAAAAAGCACAUUGGCUUUCUAAAAUGUUCUCCGGUGGGAUAACAUUGUAGCAUGUGCACAGGGGAUAGAUAUUUAAAGAAGGGUGUUUAAAGAUUAUUAGUGUUUUGUUUUUCUGCUGUGUUUAAAUAUAUUUAUUAAAAAUUUGUUCAUGUCCUUGGUUAUUUCAUAGUGUACUUAACAAGUUUCUUGGGACUGUUGGGGAAAGAUAGAUAAUAAGUUUCAGCUGAUGAUUUGCUGCUUCUGUCACAUGUGAUUUCUAAUUCUAGGGGCAAACAUUAUUCAUUGUGGUCCAGCAGCUUUAAAAAAAAAAUCUGGAAAAACACUAUAAAUUGCUUUUCCUUCAUAUCUUACACAGAAAAAUAGGAACUGUUUUUGUGUAGUUUGGACAACGAGGUCUACUUUAGUUUCAGGCUUAUGUACAACUAAAAAUUAAAUCCAGAAUACAUGACCUUGCCCCAUACACUGCAGGAAAAUACUAUACUUUUUCUUUUGAGGGGAAGCAUUCUUCUCUAAAAGAUACAACCAUUGGCGCUGCUAACAGAACUGUGAUCAGUUUUUGUUGUCGAUGAUGACUGCAUCUAUGAAUGGCUUUAUACCAUCACUAAAACAGACAGANGCUAGCUCCAAAAACCUUAAGCCGUAUAAUUUUGAGCCUUCAUUUCAGCAGUAAUUACACUAACUAAAGUACACAUUUGACGAAAUUAAUUUUUUUGCAAUGUAAACCUCUCAACAGUUACCUGUACUUUCUUUUAUCCUGUUUCAUUGUGUCAUGUGCAGAAAGCAGCAUUAAUCAGAGCAAAAAUACUUUUAUGAAAAUCACAGGAGUUCUGUUGCUUUCUAGAAGAAUUGGUAUCUAACAAGUGGUGGGUAAUUUUAAUUUGAUAGACUUCCCUGGCAAAUAAGCUAGAGUUCAGUGCUUCUAAGUCUAUUUGAUUUCAGCCAGGAAGAGCUAUCUAUAAUUUUUGCUAUUAAAUAAAUGUGGCAUCAUGAUUAGUAUUUUUAUUGUC
ensembl:lncRNA